GGGCAUAUGGUGUAGGGGUUAUCACGUUCGCUUUGCAUGACCGUGAAUGCGAAAGGUCUCCGGUUCAAAUCCGGAUUUGUCCA